rnacentral:rRNA from 1 species
UACGAAGGGGGCUAGCGUUGUUCGGAAUUAUUGGGCGUAAAGAGCUCGUAGGCGGUUUGUUGCGUCGGCUGUGAAAUCCCGAGGCUCAACCUCGGGUCUGCAGUCGAUACGAGCAAACUAGAGUGUUGCAGGGGAGACUGGAAUUCCUGGUGUAGCGGUGAAAUGCGCAGAUAUCAGGAGGAACACCGGUGGCGAAGGCGGGUCUCUGGGCAACAACUGACGCUGAGGAGCGAAAGCGUGGGGAGCGAACAGG